GCCCUGGUUCCUCGCAGGCAUCUGCACAGAAGUGGUUUGAUAUAAUCACCAUGACAACUGCCGCCUAUGAGCAUACAAAUAAUAGAGAUGAAAUAGACAAAAGAUUAGCAUGCCAUGAAAAGUACAAUAAGUUUCUUAUUUAGCAUUUAGAUAACUGUCUUUCCUUCGGAGCAGGCUUCAAAGUUGAACCCAGUUUAGACCAAGAGGAUUAAUUCUUUCUCCCGCAUGCUUCAUUGAAUCUCUCAUUACCAAACUUUGUCUGUAUUGAUGUAAGAUUUGAUUGAAGAUUAGAGCAUUUAGCAAAUCUUGCUUUUCUGCAUGUAUCAGGCCUUUUCAAGCGCGGGCCGCGCUGCCCAGUGGUCAAUACCCUUACUUUUAUCCAGUGUCUGCUUCAUUUAAACUUAAUCAACUCCCUCAAUGAACUGGAACAGGGAAACGUCCCUGCGGUAAGAAUGUUGUGCUUUUCUUAGAUAAUUCUUUGCUCCCUCUCCCAGUCCGCUGGCGUUAAACCUAAAAUUGCUCUCUGAUGAACUUAAUCAAUAUGAUAAUGACAAUUGGGGCUCAAUGGCUCGGCCUGGGCUCCGCGCGGAAAAGGUAGAUGGGCUGUGCCCAUUACCCAGGAGCAACUUCUCCUUUCUCGUCUCUCCUUUUGUGUGCUCUGCUCCCACCUCUCCCUCGCUCUUUUCCUCCCCCUUUCUCUUCUCCCCCUUCUUUCCCCGUGACACCGGCCGCUGCUCACGCCGGAGAAUGAUGCUUCUUUGUGCGGCAUGAGGACUCGUAUGUCACCGCCCGGGGAAGCGGCGCGGAGCGGUUGGCCGGGUGAAUUAUCUGCCUUGUUGCGGUGAAUUAUUUGCCCUGUUUCCUUUCCCAGUCAACAAGUUUCUGAGGUAUAGCACAGAUCAAUCAAAGCUGACAGAGCGCAUGUGAAGCUUUUACUGUGUAAAUCUGGACCUCUUGUCCCGGCUUCGUUGGCACUGGCAUCUGUAUAUCAUUUUUAUACUGCUACCAGUAGAGCAAUUUCAAAAGUAUUUGCAAGGAAAAUGGAUGUCCCCAUCUGUUCCCGGAAUCAUAAAUGUGCCACUUUCGGAGGGUUUUCACUGGUAAUCAUAUCUUUAAUGAUGAACAAACUUGUGAUAUAUACCUUUCCAUAAAAUGGGGUUUUCUUCGCUUUAUUGUGAUUGGCUGGGAUAAAUAGCUUUUCCAUAUGUUAGGGAGAUAAAACAUAAGAUUACCAGAGCUCGUUUGCUUGAUCAUAAACAAAAGAAACAAUUCGCCCCAAACACUCUUUAAACAGAAGCAACUGCAGAAUUAAAUUGUAUUAAUAGGCUGUCGAUGGGUCAGGAGGCAAACAACUGUCCCCGUGGAAAAGACAGCCGCUUUAAAAUACGAAUAGACGGCCUUUAUCACUGUUCGAGUGACCUUAAUGCAGACGUGGAUUUUAAAUACUAGAUGCUCUUUUUAACUUCUUUCCCCUCCCUUAAGAUUGUCUUGUCUUUGCCUCUCUCAUUUUUUUUCCCCUCUUCUGACUGACUUUGUAUUUCCCUAAGUGCAGAAGCGAGGAUGCUGUGCUAGGUAGUGGAUUGCCGUGCGCUAUAUUUAGAAAGCAUCUGGAAGAGAAAAUGUCCUCAGGAAUCCGGACUGUUUUGUUGUAAACACCCCUCCAGUUCCAGCGCUAUAAACGUAAACGCUCCUUCUCCAGACGCGACAGCGCUUGGCGCUGCCUGGGAGCGCCGGGUGAAUGCUGUUGGCAGAGACACCAGCAUGGAUGAAGCAAAGCCGGCUUCAGAGAAACAGCCCCUAACUGCUUGCGUGAGCCUGAGACUUCUAAUGUGAGGAAAAACAAGCGGUGACAAGUGUGGAAAAGAGCAAGCACUAAAUUACUGUCAGAAAAAUAAACGGCGGAGCGCUGUGCUGCGCAGUGAUUUACGGGGGCAAUUAGCCACAGCCCCACGGAGCUGCCGCGGCACCCCCCGGCGCUGGCCCGGCUCUUGCACCCAGCCCGGGCACCCGGGACUCGUCUCCCUCUCCCGCAGCUCUUGUUUUGCCUACCCCAGGAAUGGGGAUGUGGAGAAGGGAACUGUCUCGAAAGCCAGAUGCUGGGUUUGCAGGGAAGGUGUGAGCACUGUGGGUCUGCUUAUUCAUCGUGCCCAGGUGUGGGGUGAUUGAAAAGGUGAGGAAGUACAGUUAAAGAAAAAAUAUUCCCGGAGAAGGGAAGCUGGAAAGUGGGGUGGGAAAGCUGCUGGGGCUGGAGGAGGUGGCUCUGCAGCUGCUGCACGUCUGGAGAUGCUGUGGGCUAUUAGACAUCCGGGCAGCCCUGGAGAAGGGCCAGCUCUGCUGCUAGCUGAGGGUGGACAUUAAACAAGCUUAAUGCUGUUGUUUCACCAGGAGAGAUGUUUUAAUCUGAAGCUAGCAGCAAAGAAGGUAUAGACAGUCCAAGCUCCAGUUCAACCUGGACCAUGACAGUGAGCUCCCAGACAGCACAUUGCAGGGCUCCCUAGGGAGCAGCUGGAAGGAUCACCAAACCAUGGUCCACAGAAUCACAGACUGGUUUGGACUGGAAAGGACCUUAAAACUCAUCCAGUUCCAACCCACUGCCAUGGGCAGAGACACCUUCCACUAGAGCAGGUUGCUCCAAGCCCCACCUAACCUGGCCUUGAACACUGCCAGGGAUGAGGCAGCCACAGCUUCCCUGGCAGUAGCUCCAGCCACUACCAUGAGGUCUGCAAGCUCAGGCUCCCAAGCACAAAAAUUCAGGAGCUCCUCUGUCAAGAGCUCUGGUACAAACAGUAAAUGGGGCCUAUUUUGUGCAGAUGAUUUAACAAGGACUGCUUGGGUGAGGGAACAGAUUUGUCUCAGACCUCUUCUUUUUCAGAAGAACAAGUGCAGAAGCUUAGACUGGACCUUGUGGCUGGAAAGGGUGCCUAGGCCUGAGAGCCUCUGGUCUGUGAUUUCUGUCUUUAGGGAAUGCUGUGACACUCCUUUGCCCCAGCUCAUGUUACUGGAUCCACUUCGGACGUAUGGUGGUUUCAUUACUUGGUGCCAUGAUGCCUGCUGUCCUUGACCCCACUAUCCUCACUCAGUUGGUGCCUGUAUGUAUGCUUUAAUGUUCUAAAGCUGUGUUGGUCGCCAAGAGCUGGUCCAUCCCCUGAGCAGUGCCUGGCUCCUGCAGGAGGCACCAGUCAAGUUUGGAUGCAUUCUCCCAUUAGACCCGCCAGCUCUGUGUCUGGCUCCUCCAAAUAGUUGGCGUUUGGAGCAUGGGAGGCAGCCUGAGCUCACUUCAACAGCUGGUGCCAGCCGGUUCCUCAAGGAUUGGUGCCAGCAGCAGGAGGAGCAUGCCAGGGCCUUGCUUAUCAAAGAGACCAGCAUCCAUUCCAUGGCUGCCACCGAGGGACAAAGGGAAAAGCAGAAGAGCAAGUCCCUCUUGACAUGGCACCUUGUGGGAAAGACAGGCAUGUGCCAUUUAGAAGAGGAUGCAAGCUGGAGGAUGAAGAGAUGACCUUAGUGAGCGGCCUUCCCUCCUUGCUUCCAUUUCCUGGCUGGUGGGCAGUGUGUGAUACCUGCCUUUGGGAAGCACUUGAGGCUUAUAAAUGGAAAAUAGAUCACAGAGGUGAAGCAGCAGUGCUUACUUUGGGGUCUGCCUUUGGCUCCUUCCUCGCUUUCUAGAAGCGGUUCUUGUGGGGACACCUAAGGUGUUCCUGGUGCUCACCAUCCCUUGCAAGCCAGGGCCCUCCUUCUUCCACAGGUUGCUAGGCUGCCUCCUAUUAA